AAGGGUAUAUCUUGGUGGUAGAGUGCAUGCUUAGCAUGCAUGAGGUCCUGGGUUCAAUCCCCAGUACCUCCA
rnacentral:tRNA from 1 species